rnacentral:misc_RNA from 1 species
AACCUGCGGAAGGAUCAUUGUCGUGACCCUGACCAAAACAGACCGCGAACGCGUCACCCGUGCCGCCGGGCGCCCCGUACGGUGACGCCCGGCCCAGGCCCCCGACCUCCGCCCGGAGGGGAGGGGCCGCAACAGAACCCACGGCGCCGAACGGCGUCAAGGAACACCUCAUGUUGCCUGGCGCGGGGCCGCGGCCGGCUCGCCGGACGCGCCCCGGCCAGCGAUGUUACCAUAAUCCACACGACUCUCGGCAACGGAUAUCUCGGCUCUCGCAUCGAUGAAGAACGUAGCAAAAUGCGAUACCUGGUGUGAAUUGCAGAAUCCCGCGA